UCUGAUUAGGGUAUUGAUUAUUUGAAAUAUGAUAAUUGUGAAAACACUGGGAUAAGCGCAAAGGAAAGGUACCCUAAAAUGAGUAAGGCCUUACUAAACAGCGGCAGGAAGAUAUAUUACUCCAUAUGUAAUUGGGGAGAAGAAGAUCCUGCAACAUGGGCCCCAAGUAUUGGAAACAGUUGGAGAACAACUCUUGAUAUCCAAGAUAAAUGGGAUAGGUGAAAGUGAUGUUGAGGUACUAAGGUACUAGCAAACCCACAUUACCACGGGCUCCCGGGCGGGCCUGCAUUGCCCACUAAGUAACUUACGGCCGUACCAGAUCAAGUAGUGUUUAUUACAAUUAUGUUGUUUGAGGACCUGUUGAUCAUAAUUGAUUUAAGUAAUGCUCGAUACAUACAUUCAGUGUCCUUAGGCCGGUCUCUCACUCUCUCUCCCUUCGUUGCCUCAUUACUACUCCGUACUCAUUAAACUGAAUCUGCUUUCGUACAAGACAGUGGCAGUUCCUCCAGUAGCCCUGUGUAUUAUGCUCACUUGGCUGCAUGUUGUGCUUGGUUUUAUGUCCAAGGGGAAGCCUAUGAUACUGCAACCUCAAGUGGAGGUGUGGACAUCAGCUCAAGACCUGAUGCUGAACAUUAAUGUACUUGUUAACUUUGUUUUGCGUGGAUUAGUCUUCGUACAGGCUUAUUAAGGUUACAAUUAUCUCCUUUCUAAAGAUGUAUCGUUUUUUAUUUUGAGAUCGUCUGUGUUCUUUUCAAUAUAUAUUCUCGCAACAUGUGAUAUUUGAGCUAAUAUAGCAGACAUUUUGCUGAGCUAUGCCGGUGCUGACAGCUAUUACAUGAUCAGUCGGUAAGGACUAAGGAGAAGGACAGCUAACCGUACCUCAACCCUCACGGUUUUUUUGGUCCGGUACUUACAAGUCAGACACUUUGAGAGUGAGGGGAAAGAUUAAGGGAUCUUCACUCUCAAAGUGUCCCUAAUAAGGUUGAAAGGUACAAUCCUUACCACUAGACCAAGCUUAGCGUGGUACUAUUACAUGAUCAGUUGGUCACUAAAAGACUCAUGUAGAUAAGUGAAUGCUAGU